CAGGCACAAUAAUCUCUUAUUAUCGAAGUUCAUUUCUCAUGCUGGCUAAUCCUUGAUAUAUCAUGGAGUAAAUGAAUAAAGGGUAGAUGAAACCAGCGAAGACUUUACAUAAGAGUAUUGGUUGAUUGUUGCUGAAAUUUCAAAUGUUUUAGGAAUCUUUUAUUUUCAUAUAUAUUAUACAAAGUUAUGUGCUAAAUCUUGAAUCGGAGAACAAUAUUGUAUAUUUUGAUUUAAUGGUAUUAUAAUUUUGAUAUUUUGGAUCA